UAAAAAAUAGCUUUUUUUUUAAGUUCAAGUGUGAAAUCUUGACUCACAAGUGAUGUAAAAUGGAGUUUUGACUCCUGAGUUUAAUUUGGAGAAGCAUUUGUUGAAUUUUAUUCAUUGAAUCUUAUUUCAUUUCUUCUUUGGUUUGCUUUUUCUUAUUUGAAUUUUUUUCCUGGCAAUUUUAUUUAGUAAAAAAAAGGAGUAAUAGUGAUGAGUGACUAGACCUUUCUUUUGUUAUUUUUUUUUCCUUAUUAAAUGCAUGUCUUCGAACUAGAUUUUCAAAAGACGAGUGAUCAAAACAAUAUUUGGUCAUUAUAUGUUUUGUGAAAGCAGGUUGAAGAGAAAUGGUAUGCAAGAAGAUAAAGAGUAUGAAUCAAAGAGCUUGUUGAAGGAGCACUAGAAGAGGCUCGCCAACAUCAAAUUGGGCAUUAAAUACAUAGAACUGCAUGCCAUUUCUUAGAUUUGCACACAUGUAAAUAUGCACAAGUGCCAUCUCACUACAAGAAAAUUGGCCUAUAACCACGUUUUUGUUACGGCGUUUUUUGAAAAACGCCGUUUCAAAGAUUUUUAAAAUACUUUGCAGAUAACUCAUUUUAAAAAACACGCGUCCUACUUACUAACAUAUAUCCCCUUUUUUAAGGCCCACGCUUUUUUCAUUUUGUUCAUUUCUCAGAGUCCCAAGAUAGAUCUAGGGUUCUAUCUCUUCAUCACUCCUCUUUCUUAUGGUGAAACUAGAUCGAGCAUCGUAGGCUCUGAUUUACGAUCUCUCUAUCCACCUCUCUCCAUCUUGGCUCAAAGCUCUCGAUCAGUCCGAUUUGAAGAUUAAUUUUGUGAUGUCAAGUUUAUUAUAUUUUUAUGGCAUGUCUGGUUUGCUAAAGGAGAUCCUGCUUCACCGGUACUUCAGCAAGUAACAUUGUGGAUGUGAACUCAUAUAAUGAGUUGAAAGAUGCAAUUAGUCGGGGGAAAUGGGCAAGGGGUCCCUGGUCUGCUAGUGACAAAGAUGAGUUGAGGGUGAAAGAAGAAACAGGGGCAACGAUCCGGUGUUUCCCUUUUGAACAGCCCGAAGGCAGAAGUAAGACAUGCUUGAUGACGGGCAAUCCAGCAGAGGAAGUUGCAAUUUUCGCCAACUCAUACUGAAUCUCCAGG